rnacentral:rRNA from 1 species
UACGAAGGUCCCAAGCGUUGUUCGGAAUCACUGGGCGUAAAGGGUGCGUAGGCGGUUUGGUAAGUCAGAUGUGAAAUCCCGGGGCUCAACCCCGGAACUGCAUCCGAUACUGCCGGACUAGAGGACUGGAGAGGUGACUGGAAUUCUCGGUGUAGCAGUGAAAUGCGUGGAUAUCGAGAGGAACACUCGUGGCGUAAGCGAGUCACUGGACAGUAUCUGACGCUGAGGCACGAGGGCCAGGGUAGCGAAAGGG